CAAUCAAAGAUCAAAACUUUUUGAUAGGCAAAUGCGUGUGUGACAUGUGUGUGACUUGAUACUUUUAUUAUCCUUCCUUUUUUUUUUUGGUUUGUUUUUCUUUUUUGUGUCUAAGACCUUUCUGUCAGAAGUUAAAUGGCAGCUGACUUGUACGAUUUUGAAUUUGAUUCGCAUCGAAAUUGAUCUCGUGAGCCGCUGGGGAAAUGACUGGUGUGGGUAAUUGAUGAUUUAGGGAUGCCUCAUCGGAUGUUAAACAGGAUUGAAGGAAGGGCAACUGGCAUUGUUAAUAUUUGACUUACAUAUAAAAAACUCUUAACUUCCAAACGAUGCCUCACAAAAACCGUCCACUUUUCCUUUUGAUGGCGAAGGUCGUCAACUUAUCAGCAGCAGUUCAAAAUUCGACGCCUGUUGUUUGUCAAAAAUAUUUAACUCCCAAGUGGAAAUAUUGUAAUUUCAACGAAAAGACAGUGUUUCCCACAAAAAUAAUUCUAAUCAAAAUAUAGACAAAAACGCUCAAAACAUUGAUAAGACCUGAAAAAUUGUAGCCAUCCCCUGCCAAACAGUAUAAAAUUGAAUAAAAAAAAAGUAGCCUUCACCUUUUCCAGCUAAA